UAAUAUCGGAUGACGCAUAUGUGCUGGAAUGCCUUAUGCGUAAACGGGAUUCGUCCGCCCAAGGAUGGGUCUGCGGCCUAUCAGUUAGUAGUGGGUGUAAUGUACCUACUAGCCAACAACGGGUACGGGUUGUGAGAGCAAGAGCCCGGAGAUGGAUUCUGAGACAUGAAUCCAGGCCCUACGGGGCGCAGCAGGCGCGAAAACUUUACAAUGCGGGAAACCGUGAUAAGGGAACACCGAGUGCCAGCAUCAUAUGCUGGCUGUCCAGAUGUGUAAACUACAUCUGUUAGCAAGGGCCGGGCAAGACCGGUGCCAGCCGCCGCGGUAACACCGGCGGCCCGAGUGGUGACCGUUAUUAUUGGGUCUAAAGGGUCCGUAGCCGGUUUGGUCAGUCCUCCGGGAAAUCUGAUAGCUUAACUGUUAGGCUUUCGGGGGAUGCUGCCAGGCUUGGAACCGGGAGAGGUAAGAGGUACUACAGGGGUAGGAGUGAAAUCUUGUAAUCCCUGUGAGACCACCUGUGGCGAAGGCGUCUUACCAGAACGGGUUCGACGGUGAGGGACGAAAGCUGGGGGCACGAACCGGAUUAGAUACCCGGUAGUCCCAGCCGUAAUAUGCUCGCUAGUGU
rnacentral:rRNA from 1 species